rnacentral:rRNA from 1 species
AUUGAUAACAUUUGAGUGAGUGGCGGACGGUUAGUAACACGUGGGUAACCUGCCCUAAAUGGGGGAUAACAUUUGGAAACAGAUGCUAAUACCGUAUAACAAUGACAACCGCAUGGUUGUUAUUUAAAAGAUGGUUCUGCUAUCACUAAGAGAUGGUCCCGCGGUGCAUUAGCUAGUUGGUAAGGUAAUGGCUUACCAAGGCGAUGAUGCAUAGCCCGAGUUGAGAGACUGAUCGGCCACAAUGGGACUGAGACACGGCCCAUACUCC